rnacentral:rRNA from 1 species
UCAGCCACAUUGGGACUGAGACACGGCCCAAACUCCUACGGGAGGCAGCGUGGGGAAUCUUGCACAAUGGAGGAAACUCUGAUGCAGCGAUGCCGCGGAGUGAAGAAGGCCUUUGGGNUGUAAAGCUCUUUCGUCGGGGAAGAAAAUGACUGUACCCGAAUAAGAA